UACAGAGGAGCCAAGCGUUGUCCGGAUUGACUGGGCGUAAAGCGCACGCAGGCGGUUGCGCGCGUGGGGUGUGAAAUCUGGCCGCUUAACGGCCAGGCGCCAUCCCAUACGGCGCGACUGGAGUGAUGCAGAGGUCGAUGGAAUUGCCGGUGUAGUGGUGAAAUGCGUAGAGAUCGGAAAGAACACCAACGGCGAAAGCACUCUGCUGGGCCGACACUGACACUGAGAGACGAAAGCUAGGGGAGCAAAUGGG
rnacentral:rRNA from 1 species